CCGCCCAUAGCUCAGCUGGUAGAGCGGCUCCCUUUUAAGGAGAUGGUCCCAGGUUCGACUCCUGGUGGGCGGACAA
rnacentral:tRNA from 1 species